CAUCUCCAUUUCACCACAUCUCUGUCUCUCUCUCUCUCAUCGCGGUUGUGUUACCACCGAUGGUCGCUCAUCGCUUCUCGCGCUUUCUCUCCUCUUCAAGCUUCCAGAUGCCUUGAGGCUCUGCUAGGCUAGCCACCUCAGCGAAUGGAGGUAUUUGUUGCCUGCUACAAGAAGAAAGCCAACGACGACUGAAGUAGUUCGCGGGGCAGAAGAGGUAGUGGAGACACAUUAGAAGAUGCUCGAGGAGCAUGCCUCACAGUCGAAGCCACCGGAGGAGGGUGGCUCAUCUGCUGCCAGUGUCACACCCUUAGAGGAAGAAAAACUUUGGGCCGAGGCAUUAACAUCAGAUCCCGCUCCCCCGUUUACCAAAGACCACAGAGCAUCAACAUCUAAUGCCACCUCGCAGCCAGAACCUCUUGUCUCAAUACUGCUUUAAAAAAUCAAACUUAUGUUGGGCAUGCUCUUCAACAAAAUGGGGAUCCAAAUGUUGUUCCCCAACCAGCUACCAAUUGUUAAUGCCCCAGUUGAGCAGUCCAUGCAAUAAUAGGACGAAAAAGUUGUAGAGCCUCAUCCAAGCAUUCGCCCUACUUGUUACUUUAGGAUUUAAAUUUUAAUAUUUUUGUUUUAAAAUUAGAAUUCUG